rnacentral:rRNA from 1 species
AGUGAACGCUGGCGGUAGGCCUAACACAUGCAAGUCGAACGGCAGCACAGUAAGAGCUUGCUCUUACGGGUGGCGAGUGGCGGACGGGUGAGGAAUACAUCGGAAUCUACUUUUUCGUGGGGGAUAACGUAGGGAAACUUACGCUAAUACCGCAUACGACCUACGGGUGAAAGCAGGGGAUCUUCGGACCUUGCGCGAUUGAAUGAGCCGAUGUCGGAUUAGCUAGUUGGCGGGGUAAAGGCCCACCAAGGCGACGAUCCGUAGCUGAUCUGAGAGGAUGAUCGGCCACACUGGAACUGAGACACGGUCCAGACUCCUACGGGAGGCAGCAGUGGGGAAUAUUGGGCAAUGGGCGAAAGCCUGACGCAGCAAUACCGCGUGGGUGAAGAAGGCCUUCGGGUUGUAAAGCCCUUUUGUUAGGAAAGAAAAGCUGCAUGUGAAUACCCCGCUGUUCUGACGGUACCCAAAGAAUAAGCACCGGCUAACUUCGUG